rnacentral:rRNA from 1 species
AGAGUUUGAUCCUGGCUCAGGAUGAACGCUGGCGGCGUGCCUAAUACAUGCAAGUCGAACGGACUUAAUAUGAAACCUAGUGAUUAUUAAGUUAGUGGCGGACGGGUGAGUAACGCGUGGGUAACCUGCCGUAUACCGGGGGAUAACACUUAGAAAUAGGUGCUAAUACCGCAUAUGCUCACAGUAUCACAUGAUACAGUGAGGAAAGGAGCAAUCCGCUAAUAGAUGGGCUUGCGUCUGAUUAGCUAGUUGGUGGGGUAACGGCCUACCAAGGCGACGAUCAGUAGCCGGACUGAGAGGUUGAACGGCCACAUUGGGACUGAGAUACGGCCCAGACUCCUACGGGAGGCAGCAGUCGGGAAUAUUGCGCAAUGGAGGAAACUCUGACGCAGUGACGCCGCGUAUAGGAAGAAGGUUUUCGGAUUGUAAACUAUUGUCGUUAGGGAAGAUAAAAGACAGUACCUAAGGAGGAAGCUCCGGCUAACUAUGUGCCAGCAGCCGCGGUAAUACAUAGGGAGCAAGCGUUAUCCGGAAUUAUUGGGUGUAAAGGGUGCGUAGACGGAGGAACAAGUUAGUUGUGAAAUCCCUCGGCUUAACUGAGGAACUGCAACUAAAACUAUUCCCCUUGAGUGUCGGAGAGGAAAGUGGAAUUCCUAGUGUAGCGGUGAAAUGCGUAGAUAUUAGGAGGAACACCAGUGGCGAAGGCGACUUUCUGGACGAUAACUGACGUUGAGGCACGAAAGUGUGGGGAGCAAACAGGAUUAGAUACCCUGGUAGUCCACACUGUAAACGAUGGAUACUAAGUGUAGGGGGUAUUAAGCACUCUGUGCCCGCCGCAAACGCAUUAAGUAUCCCACCUGGGGAGUACGACCGCAAGGUUGAAACUCAAAGGAAUUGACGGGGGCCCGCACAAGCAGUGGAGUAUGUGGUUUAAUUCGAAGCAACGCGAAGAACCUUACCAGGGCUUGACAUAUACCGGAAUAUACUAGAGAUAGUAUAGUCCUUCGGGACUGGUAUACAGGUGGUGCAUGGUUGUCGUCAGCUCGUGUCGUGAGAUGUUGGGUUAAGUCCCGCAACGAGCGCAACCCCUAUCGUUAGUUGCUAGCAGGUAAAGCUGAGAACUCUAGCGAGACUGCCGGUGAUAAAUCGGAGGAAGGUGGGGAUGACGUCAAAUCAUCAUGCCCUUUAUGUCCUGGGCUACACACGUACUACAAUGGCCGCAACAGAGGGAAGCGAAAUAGUGAUAUGGAGCAAAACCCGAAAAACGGUCUCAGUUCGGAUUGAAGGCUGAAAUUCGCCUUCAUGAAGCUGGAAUUGCUAGUAAUGGCAGGUCAGCAUACUGCCGUGAAUACGUUCCCGGGCCUUGCACUCACCGCCCGUCA